UAAAAACCUAUAUGAUUAGAGGAGUCCCUAACCUACAAAAGGGCCAACAUGGUUGAAAAGUUUCACAUAGAAAAAAAAAAUUGAAUUACAUGGUUGAGAAGUUGAAGAAUUUGGUCACUACGUAUGUACCUGCAAUAUCAAUGCAUGUAUACUCGAAUACUCGAUUCUUCUUCUUCUACUUCCUCUUCAUUUUUUUUUCUUUAAUUUUUUAAGAGUGUCGAGAAUUGAAAAAUGAAGGAAAUCGGUUUGAUACCAUGUUUAUUUUAUAUAAAUAUGUCAAACUAUCUCAUCACUGCUGAAAUUCAUCAGGUUCAUGAAUCCUUCCUAGGCUGCUACACUGUUGGUAUCUGCCAUUCUGCCUCCCCCUGCAAAUUUUGAGGUAAUCUUCAAAUUUAUCCGGAAUGAUUUGUUGGGUUAUGCGGAAGAAUAAGGAAUGAUUUGUUGAGUUAUGCGGAAGAAUAAACUGUAGAAUGGAAUCAGAAAUAAAAUGAUAAGAACAUCGGGAAUUAACGUGGUUUGACAAAGUGUUUACGUACACGGAGCAACAAUAACAAAGAAUCCUCCAUUAUACGAAUAAAUGUCACACGGAGAGAAACACUACGUCAAGACUCACAUUUGAAGGGAUACACUCUCACACACACACUUUGUUUUGCAACACACACAAACUCUCUACUUAGGAGUUUUCUAUCUCACUCUUGUACCAUUGCAAAUGCCUCUAUAUAUAGGCAAAUAUAUGCAUGCAUUCUUCAUGCACGUCCAUCACUUGGAAGACAAUUCCACAAGUCUUCCUUAUUUCAUGCUCAAUGUUUCCAUAUGCCACAUUAAUGCAUGCUCUUCCAUUUCAAUCUUUACAGCCGGCUACCACACCUAUAUAUAUAUAUAUAUAUAUAUGUUGCUCUCUUGCAUUUCAACAAAUGCACACCAACUAUGCU
rnacentral:lncRNA from 1 species